UACGGGGGGGGCAAGCGUUGUUCGGAUUUACUGGGCGUAAAGGGCGCGUAGGCGGCGCGGUAGGUCACUUGUGAAAUCUCUGAGCUUAACUCAGAACGGCCAAGUGAUACUGCAGUGCUAGAGUGUGGAAGGGGCAAUCGGAAUUCUUGGUGUAGCGGUGAAAUGCGUAGAUAUCAAGAGGAACACCUGAGGUGAAGACGGGUUGCUGGGCCAACACUGACGCUGAUGCGCGAAAGCCAGGGGAGCAAACGGG
rnacentral:rRNA from 1 species